AUUAAGAAGCUAUAAUA
rnacentral:tRNA from 1 species